GCCCAAUUUACAUCAAAACCCCAAUGGCCUAAACCCUAAACCCAAAUCAAAAUAAAAAAACCCUAGCCCACAACCUAAACUUUUCUCAACUAAAUCCUAGCCUUUGUCACCACCAACUCCACUAGCCACACUUGCUCCACCACCUACUCCACUAGCCACACUUGCUCCACCACCUACUCCAUUAGCCACACUUGCUCCACCACCACUUGUACCUACAAAUGAAGACAUAAACAAUAAAAAAUAUUUGGUAAAUGGCUAUAUAAGCCUUCUCAUAUUUUGUAUUUAGGCAAGGAAGAAGUUUUGGGGGAGAAAGUUAUUGUAAAGGAUUUUUUAGAGGUUUUUU
rnacentral:lncRNA from 1 species